rnacentral:precursor_RNA from 1 species
UGCAUCCUGAUCCACCCCUCCAUUUUUUUUUGCUUGUUGCGUCCUUCCUGGGACCUGAGAUCCGAGGCUCGUGGUGGCUCACUGUAGCCUCGCUACACUGUUUUCUUCUCCUCUCCUGUGCUAUUUGCUGUUUCUCCUAAGAUUCUUUAGGCCGUGCUUAUCCGUGCUGGAGUUUAACGAAGCAGCACGUUGCUGCUGCUGGUGCUGCCCUCAUGCCCUGGUGGUCGACUGGUAUCGGUACCCGUACUUGCGUCGCUUUAUUAUACCCUAUCUUCGCCGGUGAGGUUUCCGGCCGUUCGGUACAGGUAGUCUAUGUCAAACACUCGUUUUAUUUCUUGUCAUACUAUAUUCUUCUGCUUCCUGUUCGUACCGGCGGCGUGUGCCUUUGCGGUGGCGCUCCUGGAUCUGGGUGCAGCGAGCGCCCGUCAGCUUCUCCCUCCCCAUGCCACCUCGUCAACGCCCCCCGGCACCUGGCAGAUUCGCCGUCAUGCUGGCUCAGCGCUCGACCCCUCGCGCUCGGCGGCGUCGCCUGCAGGCCAGGUCCGGUUUCAUCGCAUGUCGCCGCCCGCUGGUGCUUCCGUGUCAUGGGAGGGAGCUUCGUUUAUCUUUCUGACCGACAUGUAAUGUGCAGUGCUAGGACUGCUGCUGCAACGCUUCGCGAUGCAAGGACGUCGUUCCAGCAGGACGAUUCUGUUUGGACUCCGGAACUGCGGUUUGGAGUUCUGAAGGCGAAUAGGCGAUAAUAAUGCGGUGUAAAUUGUGAUGAAAGCUGAGAUUCUUUGUAUGAAAUACGGAAUGUAUCGCUUGGACACUGUAUCGCGAAUUGGUGGAUGAGCAUGUUGUAUUCCGUUGCCCUUUUGGUUCGAAA